rnacentral:lncRNA from 1 species
UACUUCUUCACUGGUUUUGGUUUUUGUGGACCCUCCUAAAAUAAGGGUUAGAGAAUCCCACCCUAACUUUUCAAUUAUGGCCUCCAACAAAAUUUUAAGGAUUAUCCAUGCAGAGACGUCGACAUCCUCGAUCAUUAAUUAUUACCAAUAAUAUAUGCACCCUCUACGUUAAUCCAAUAAUACAAUUCACUGUCCCUGCUUUACCUCCCUACUCUUGU